GACGAACGCUGGCGGCGCGCCUAACACAUGCAAGUCGAACGGAGUUAUUUGAAAGCUUGCUUUUGGAUAACUGAGUGGCGGACGGGUGAGUAACGCGUGAGUAACCUGCCUUAAAGAGGGGGAUAACGUCUGGAAACGGACGCUAAUACCGCAUAAGCCCACGGAACCGCAUGGUUCUGGGGGAAAAGGAGCAAUUCGCUUUGGGAUGGACUCGCGUCCGAUUAGCUAGAUGGUGAGGUAACGGCCCACCAUGGCGACGAUCGGUAGCCGGACUGAGAGGUUGAUCGGCCACAUUGGGACUGAGACACGGCCCAG
rnacentral:rRNA from 1 species